GUGCUAGCUUCGGUAGCACAUAUACUAAAAUUGAAAUGAUACGGAGAAGAUUAGCAUGGCCCCUGCGCAAGGAUGACACACAAAUUCGUGAAGCAUUCCUUAUUUUU
ensembl:snRNA Gm24142 predicted gene, 24142